GAUCACCAUGAAAACUUGCAAGCAACUCACUGUGCUUUGGUGCUGAACUAUCUGUAUUUCUAAUAUAGUGAUGGAAGGCUAUUGGGUAUAGUCAAGUACUUGUAAAAUUUGUGUGAGUUAAGAUGGGAUAGACUCCUUCGGAUUACAAGAGUUAAUGCAUUAUUAUAUUUUAAUUUAGUAAAAUAUUGAUUAGGAUAAUCUAUGUGAUCUGUCACAGGAUUUGAAAGGUUG
rnacentral:lncRNA from 1 species